GGGCUCUUGGCACAGUGGUAGCGCGCCUGCUUUGCAUGUUGAUAUGCUUGCAUGAGGUCGUGGGUUCAAUCCCCACAGUGUCCA
rnacentral:tRNA from 1 species